AACAUGUCCUUGGGGGGACUGGUUCCGGAGCUUUAGGUGGUGGUGGUGCCGGGUUUGGAGCUGGGUUUGGGGCCGGUUCUUUGGGUUUUGGUGUUUCAACAAUAAGCGCUUUAGGCUUCUCCGGUUCUUUGGGUUUCUCCGGUUCUUUGGGCUUCUCCGGUUCUUUGGGUUUCUCCGGUUCUUUGGGCUUCUCCGGUUCUUUGGGUUUCUCCGGUUCUUUGGGCUUCUCUGGUUCUUUGGGUUUCUCCGGUUCUUUGGGCUUCUCUGGUUGCUUAGGCUUCUCAGGUUCUUUCGGCUUCUCCGGUUCUUUGGGUUUCUCUGGUGCUGCUUUGGGAUUCUCUGGUGCUUUGGGUUUCUCUGGAACCUUGAUCUCAAUGCUCUUGACAGCUUCACCUCCUUUACAGACUAUCUUUUCCUUGAUCUUUUCAGGACUGCAACAUACCACAGUGAUGGUCACUGUGCCUGCCUUCUUGUCAUAUAUCUGGUUCUGAAUUUCUCUUGUUCACAAUCCACAAAAAUUAACCACUUAGCCACUUUCAUUUCAUCUUGAAACAGCUCAAACUAAGUUAUAAUAC
rnacentral:lncRNA from 1 species